CAGCAGCCACGGGAAAACGUAGGGUGCAAGCGUUAAUCGGGAUUACUGGGCGUAAAGCGUGCGCAGGCGGCUAUGCAAGACAGAUGUGAAAUCCCCGGGCUCAACCUGGGAACUGCAUUUGUGACUGGCGGGCUAGAGUAUGGCAGAGGGGGGUAGAAUUCCACGUGUAGCAGUGAAAUGCGUAGAGAUGUGGAGGAAUACCGAUGGCGAAGGCAGCCCCCUGGGCCAAUACUGACGCUCAUGCACGAAAGCGUGGGGAGCAAACAGGAUUAGAUACCCCCGUAGUCCUGUCUCUUAUACA
rnacentral:rRNA from 1 species